rnacentral:rRNA from 1 species
AAUUGUAUUAAAGGGCCGCAGUAUUCUAACUGUGCAAAGGUAGCAUAAUCGUUAGUUCUUUAAUUGAGAUCUUGUAUGAAUGAUUAGACAAAAGGAUUGCUGUCUUUAUAGUAAAAAUAGAAUUUAACUUUUAAGUGAAAAGGCUUAAAUUAUUUAGAGUGACGAUAAGACCCUAUAAAGCUUAAUAUUUUAUAAAAAUGUAAAUAAUAUAUAGGUUAAUAAAAUUUUAAAUAUUAUAAAUAUUUUAUUGGGGUGAUAGAAGUAAAAUUAAUAUAACUGCUUUAUAUUUAGACAAUUAUAAUUGAUUAUAUUAAAAUGAUCCUGUGAUAUGGAAUACAAGAUUAAGUUACUUUAGGGAUAACAGCGUUAUUUUUUUUGAGAGUUCUUAUCGAAAGAAAAGAUUGCGACCUCGAUGUUGAAUUAAAAUAUCUAUAUAAUUGUAGGAGUUAUAUUA